GGCUGCUUCCGGUAGGAGAUCGGUGUAGGGCGAGCAGGUCUCAGCUCCUCGUCAUGUCAUACGGUCCCUUAGACAUGUACCGGAACCCGGGGCCCUCGGGGCCCCAGCUCCGGGACUUCAGCAGCAUCAUCCAGACGUGCAGCGGCAACAUCCAGCGGAUCAGCCAAGCCACUGCUCAGAUAAAGAAUUUGAUAAGCCAGCUAGGAACUAAGCAGGACUCAAGCAAGCUACAGGAAAAUCUGCAACAGUUACAACACUCCACAAAUCAGCUCGCCAAGGAAACAAAUGAAUUGCUGAAAGAAUUAGGGUCCUUGCCCCUUCCGUUAUCUACUUCAGAACAGCGCCAGCAGAGACUUCAGAAGGAACGCCUCAUGAAUGACUUCUCUGCAGCCUUAAACAAUUUCCAGGCUGUGCAGAGAAGAGUAUCCGAAAAGGAAAAGGAGAGUAUUGCCAGAGCAAGAGCUGGAUCUCGUCUUUCUGUAAGUUGAUCCCCAAAAGAAGACCUUUGCAAUAUCAGAAUGUUCUUUCCCAAGUUUGUGGGUUUUUUUCUUUUUCUCUUUGACCAAUAAACAUGUAAGUUAGCUGCUGUGAAAAUGGCAGGUUGGUGUAACUUAUGUAAAAAAUAUGUAUGCAUGUGAUCAAAGCCUAGAAAGGAAUCUGAAUAAGGGUUAAGAGAUAUAGGAGGAAGAACUAUGUCUCAUUU
rnacentral:sRNA from 1 species